CCUACGGGAGGCAGCAGUGAGGAAUAUUGGUCAAUGGGCUUACGCCUGAACCAGCCAAGUCGCGUGAGGGAAGACUGCCCUAUGGGUUGUAAACCUCUUUUGUCAGGGAGCAACGCCGGCUACGUGUAGCCGGACUGAGAGUACCUGAAGAAAAAGCAUCGGCUAACUCCGUGCCAGCAGCCGCGGUAAUACGGAGGAUGCGAGCGUUAUCCGGAUUUAUUGGGUUUAAAGGGUGCGCAGGCGGUCUGUUAAGUCAGCGGUCAAAGCCCGGGGCUCAACCCCGGCCCGCCGUUGAAACUGGCAGUCUCGAGUUGGAGAGAAGUAUGCGGAAUGCGCGGUGUAGCGGUGAAAUGCAUAGAUAUCGCGCAGAACUCCGAUUGCGAAGGCAGCAUGCCGGCUCCACACUGACGCUGAGGCACGAAAGCGUGGGUAUCGAACAGGAUUAGAUACCCCAGUAGUC
rnacentral:rRNA from 1 species